CAAAAAUAAUGGAGUUUCUUAGAAAAAAAAUAAAGAGCCAUUAAACAUGAAAAAUAUUGGCAUCUUCAAAAAGAAAGAAAAAAAAUUGAAGGAUAAGUUCUCUAAGUACCUAAUUAACAAUGAAUUGAGUCCCAAUAAUGGUAAUUUUUCAACAAGAAAUAGUAGUGGAUACCUAACUCCAAUUUAGCCUACUUUUUCCCAAAAUUAUCCCACCAUUUACCCAAGCCAAGUUAUAACCCUUAAGACCUCAAAAAUGUGUGUGAUGUAUUUACUUUGAUUGACGUUUAGAAUUUUUUCAAGCUUAUGGUAAAAUAGCAUUUGCAUGUUGAUUGAGUGAAUACCCUGUCAAAUUGAGUGAAAUGGUGAGUGAGAGAUAAGGUUGAACUUUGGACAUCGUGUGGAACGGUCAUUGGACUUAAUCUGAUUGAAGUCUUAGAAGCCAGAGUGUUGAUUGAGCAGAAU
rnacentral:lncRNA from 1 species